GCAGUCGAGCGAGGGUCAUGGCGUGAGCAAUCAUGUCGUGACUCUAGCGGCGGACGGGUGAGUAACACGUGGGUAACCUGCCCUCGAGUCCGGGACACCCCCUCGAAAGGGGGGCUAAUACUGGAUACGUUCCUCGGGUCGCACGACCUGGGGAGGAAAGGUAGCUCGCAAGGGCUGCCGCUCGUGGAGGGGCUCGCGGCCUAUCAGCUAGUUGGUGGGGUAACGGCCUACCAAGGCGAUGACGGGUAGCUGGUCUGAGAGGACGACCAGCCACACGGGGACUGAGACACGGCCCCGACUCCUACGGGAGGCAGCAGUGGGGAAUCUUCCGCAAUGGGCGAAAGCCUGACGGAGUGACGCCGCGUGGGGGACGAAGGCCUUCGGGUCGUAAACCCCUGUCAGAGGGAAAGAUGGGUGUCGGCGUGCAUAGCGCCGGCAUCUGACGGUACCUUCAGAGGAAGCCCCGGCCAACUCUGUGCCAGCAGCCGCGGUAAGACAGAGGGGGCAAGCGUUGCUCGGAAUUACUGGGCGUAAAGGGCGUGUAGGCGGAGCGGCAAGUCGGUCGUGAAAGCCUCCGGCUCAACUGGAGAACGUCGAUCGAUACUGCCGUCCUUGAGGGUAGCAGAGGAGACUGGAAUUCCCGGUGUAGCGGUGAAAUGUGUAGAGAUCGGGAGGAACACCGGUGGCGAAGGCGGGUCUCUGGGCUACUCCUGACGCUGAGGCGCGAAAGCGUGGGGAGCAAACGGGAUUAGAUACCCCGGUAGUCCACGCUGUAAACGAUGGCACUA
rnacentral:rRNA from 1 species